rnacentral:lncRNA from 1 species
UCUAUAUGGCCAUGUAGGGUCUAUAUGGGCUUAUUUAGGGUCAAUAUGGGCCUAUUUGGGGUCUAUAUGGGCUUAUUUAGGGUCUAUAUGGCCCUUUUGGGGUUAAUAUGGGUCUAUUUGGGGUCGAUAUGGGCCUAUUUGGGGUCUAUAUGGCCCCAUUUGGGGUCUAUAUGGGUCAAUAUAGGCCCUUUUGGGGUCAAUAUGGGCUUAUUUAGGGUCUAUAUGUGUCUAUAUGGCCCUUUUGGGGUCAAUAUGGGCCAUUUAGGGUCAAUAUGGGCCUAUUUGGGGUCAAUAGGGUCUAUAUGGGUCCAUUUAUGGUCUAUAUGGCACUUUUGGGGUCUAUAUGGGUCAAUAUGGGCCCAUUUAUGGUCAAUAUGGGUCUAUAUGGCCCUUUUGGAGUCAAUAUGGGCCUAUUUAGGGUCAAUAUGGGUCUAUAUGGGCUUAUUUAGGGUCAAUAUGGGUCUAUAUGGCCCUUUUGGGGUCAAUAUGGGCCCUUUUGGGAUCAAUACAGGCAUAUUUAGGGUCAAUAUGGGCCCUUUUGGGGUC